rnacentral:rRNA from 1 species
CGUAGGGUGCGAGCGUUGUCCGGAAUUAUUGGGCGUAAAGGGCUCGUAGGCGGUCUGUCGCGUCGGGAGUGAAAACUCGGAGCUUAACUCCGAGCCUGCUUCCGAUACGGGCAGACUAGAGGUAUGCAGGGGAGAACGGAAUUCCUGGUGUAGCGGUGAAAUGCGCAGAUAUCAGGAGGAACACCGGUGGCGAAGGCGGUUCUCUGGGCAUUACCUGACGCUGAGGAGCGAAAGUGUGGGGAGCGAACAGGAUUAGAUACCCUGGUAGUCCACACCGUAAACGUUGGGCGCUAGGUGUGGGACACAUUCCACGUGUUCCGUGCCGCAGCUAACGCAUUAAGCGCCCCGCCUGGGGAGUACGGCCGCAAGGCUA